GGGGAUUUAGCUCAGUGGUAGAGCGCUUGCCUAGCAAGCACAAGGCCCUGGGUUCGGCCCCCUGCUCCU
rnacentral:tRNA from 1 species